rnacentral:rRNA from 1 species
AAAUUGAAGAGUUUGAUCAUGGCUCAGAUUGAACGCUGGCGGCAGGCCUAACACAUGCAAGUCGAACGGUAACAGGAAGCAGCUUGCUGCUUUGCUGACGAGUGGCGGACGGGUGAGUAAUGUCUGGGAAACUGCCUGAUGGAGGGGGAUAACUACUGGAAACGGUAGCUAAUACCGCAUAAUGUCGCAAGACCAAAGAGGGGGACCUUCGGGCCUCUUGCCAUCGGAUGUGCCCAGAUGGGAUUAGCUAGUAGGUGGGGUAACGGCUCACCUAGGCGACGAUCCCUAGCUGGUCUGAGAGGAUGACCAGCCACACUGGAACUGAGACACGGUCCAGACUCCUACGGGAGGCAGCAGUGGGGAAUAUUGCACAAUGGGCGCAAGCCUGAUGCAGCCAUGCCGCGUGUAUGAAGAAGGCCUUCGGGUUGUAAAGUACUUUCAGCGGGGAGGAAGGCGAUAAGGUUAAUAACCUUGUCGAUUGACGUUACCCGCAGAAGAAGCACCGGCUAACUCCGUGCCAGCAGCCGCGGUAAUACGGAGGGUGCAAGCGUUAAUCGGAAUUACUGGGCGUAAAGCGCACGCAGGCGGUCUGUCAAGUCGGAUGUGAAAUCCCCGGGCUCAACCUGGGAACUGCAUUCGAAACUGGCAGGCUAGAGUCUUGUAGAGGGGGGUAGAAUUCCAGGUGUAGCGGUGAAAUGCGUAGAGAUCUGGAGGAAUACCGGUGGCGAAGGCGGCCCCCUGGACAAAGACUGACGCUCAGGUGCGAAAGCGUGGGGAGCAAACAGGAUUAGAUACCCUGGUAGUCCACGCCGUAAACGAUGUCGACUUGGAGGUUGUGCCCUUGAGGCGUGGCUUCCGGAGCUAACGCGUUAAGUCGACCGCCUGGGGAGUACGGCCGCAAGGUUAAAACUCAAAUGAAUUGACGGGGGCCCGCACAAGCGGUGGAGCAUGUGGUUUAAUUCGAUGCAACGCGAAGAACCUUACCUACUCUUGACAUCCAGAGAACUUAGCAGAGAUGCUUUUGUGCCUUCGGGAACUCUGAGACAGGUGCUGCAUGGCUGUCGUCAGCUCGUGUUGUGAAAUGUUGGGUUAAGUCCCGCAACGAGCGCAACCCUUAUCCUUUGUUGCCAGCGGUCCGGCCGGGAACUCAAAGGAGACUGCCAGUGAUAAACUGGAGGAAGGUGGGGAUGACGUCAAGUCAUCAUGGCCCUUACGAGUAGGGCUACACACGUGCUACAAUGGCGCAUACAAAGAGAAGCGACCUCGCGAGAGCAAGCGGACCUCAUAAAGUGCGUCGUAGUCCGGAUUGGAGUCUGCAACUCGACUCCAUGAAGUCGGAAUCGCUAGUAAUCGUGGAUCAGAAUGCCACGGUGAAUACGUUCCCGGGCCUUGUACACACCGCCCGUCACACCAUGGGAGUGGGUUGCAAAAGAAGUAGGUAGCUUAACCUUCGGGAGGGCGCUUACCACUUUGUGAUUCAUGACUGGGGUGAAGUCGUAACAAGGUAACCGUAGGGGAACCUGCGGUUGGAUCACCUCCUUA